rnacentral:rRNA from 1 species
GAUGAACGCUGGCGGCGUGCCUAAUACAUGCAAGUCGAGCGAACGGACGAGAAGCUUGCUUCUCUGAUGUUAUCGGCGGACGGGUGAGUAACACGUGGAUAACCUACCUAUAAGACUGGGAUAACUUCGGGAAACCGGAGCUAAUACCGGAUAAUAUUUUGAACCGCAUGGUUCAAAAGUGAAAGACGGUCUUGCUAUCACUUAUAGAUGGAUCCGCGCUGCAUUAGCUAGUUGGUAAGGUAACGGCUUACCAAGGCAACGAUGCAUAGCCGACCUGAGAGGGUGAUCGGCCACACUGGAACUGAGACACGGUCCAGACUCCUACGGGAGGCAGCAGUAGGGAAUCUUCCGCAAUGGGCGAAAGCCUGACGGAGCAACGCCGCGUGAGUGAUGAAGGUCUUCGGAUCGUAAAACUCUGUUAUUAGGGAAGAACAUAUGUGUAAGUAACUGUGCACAUCUUGACGGUACCUAAUCAGAAAGCCACGGCUAACUACGUG